GAUGAAGAACGCAGCGAAAUGCGAUACGUAAUGUGAAUUGCAGAAUUCAGUGAGUCAUCGAAUCUUUGAACGCACAUUGCGCCCUGUGGUAUUCCGCAGGGCAUGCCUGUUCGAGCGUCAUUUCAACCCUCAAGCCUCGCUUGGUGUUGGGCCCUGCCCGCCGCGGCCGGCCCUAAAGAUAGUGGCGGCGCCGCCUGGCCCUCAGCGUAGUACAGCUCUCGCUCCAGGGUCCGGCGGCAGCCUGCCAGAACCCCCCAACUCUGUGGUUGACCUCGGAUCAGGUAGGGAUACCCGCUGAACUUAAGCAUAUCAAUAAGCGGAGGA
rnacentral:misc_RNA from 1 species